UACAACUUCUAUAAAUUAUAAUUGUAAAUUAAAAAGGAAAUAUUUGAUAAAUUUUAAAUAGCUCGUAGUUGUUUUGGUAGCACUUCUACUUUAUAGGUCUUGGCCGCACUUGCACUUGCAUGCAACCCUCAUAAUCCACGCAAUUGGAUUGUAUUUAUUAAAAUUUGCGGCUUUUGUUUUGAUUUCGAUUUGUUUAUACAUUCGGUGUUAAUUUGCAUUCAGACAGUUUUGCAAUCAUGAACACCAAGAAGGACAUUUUAUACGAAGUAAAUCGAAACCAAAAACGCAAAUCAAAUAUCUACAAUACGGAAAAAGAAAAAACUGAGGAUACUGUUGUCAAUGGUGGUAGUCCAAUGGAAACAUUUCAACAACAGGCAUUAGAAAUACGUGAGCCUGGACCAGAUUUCGAUCCGACGGUAGUACCAAAGGAUGGCGAUGAAUAUCUCAUGCAUAUGCUGUAUGAACGCAAAAACUGCCCAGCUGUAAUGGUGCGGGAGCCGAACAAGUGUAAAAAAAAUAGAACUGCCGCUGCUUUGGCAGAGAAUUUUAAAGAUGAAGACGAGCCGUUGAAAUCAAUCGCAUAUAACGGAAUACUGCCUACAAAAGAGUGGAAGGACUAUCAGAUUAAAGAUUUUGAAGCUACGCGCGAAAAAAUUGUGUUUCUACGUUUGGAAUUACACAGACAACGAUAUGAUCAAACGCUGGAGCCUCCAUUAAUAGCAGAUCCAGUUGCAUGGCAUACAUUUUGUCACGACAAUCCACCAUAUUUAAAAACAAUAUUGCGCUUCAGUCAGCGCACUUUAGAGCAACUUUUGGAAUUCAUUUGCGACUGGCUGCGUGCUGGUGAAGAGAAAGUAGUUUUGGAAAACAUUUCUACAGAGAACGAUGCAAUUCCUUCGACUUCAACUGCCGGCUGCAAUGAAUAUAUGAAACCGGCCAUAUUAGACCUCACAGAUACAAAUGCAUGGUUAGGUACGUGGUUAUAUGCUGCCUUAACCUGCCUACAUAUACCCAUUGAACCAGAGGUGCAUAGCACAUUGCGCGACAUAGCACGUGUUUGCAUACGAUUGCGGGGGCGUUUACCAGGCACAGCAACGGGUAAAGCUGUGCCAUACAAUUUAUUCAUACUAUUGAUUGCAAAGGCAUUUGGACAAAUGGACUUUGCCGAAUUCGUUUGAUGAGCCACGCACCAUGUGAUGAAUUCCAUAAGCAUGUACAAUAUAUUUUACUAAACGUUAUAGACAAAUAGAAAAAAAAGUUGAUGCAUUAAAUAACUAAAAAAUUGCAAAUAUCACAUCAUUCAAAAUCUGGAACGCAGUUUUUAUAUAAAGAACACUUUUCGGUACGAUUGGCAGAUCUCACAUCGACGCAGGUGGUCAUCCGGCGCAGAUAUCGAGGAAACUGUGCAAACAGAGUGAGAAUGCUGCGAGGGACUACUCACACGCGUAGCUUGACUGAGAUUGUACGAACUAUUACUGAAAUUACUAAAAAGGAAGAUGUAUAAAUAGUUAUGCUAAUGGAGAAAAAAUAUAUUUCACCUGGAGCCAGUUGAAAGGCGGCGUUCGCCGUUUUGGCCUGACACUG